CGGGGCUUAAAGUCUUGUAAUUGGAAUGAUGGGAAUUUAAACCUCUUCCAGAGUAUCAAUUGGAGGGCAAGUCUGGUGCCAGCAGCCGCGGUAAUUCCAGCUCCAAUAGCGUAUAUUAAAAUUGUUGCAGUUAAAAAGCUCGUAGUUGAAUUUCUGCUGCAUUGCUUGUGUCCCUCUGGGGUCUGUGCAUGUGGCUUUUUUCGGACGGAGUUUCUUUGUCUGAAUGUUUACUUUGAGAAAAUUAGAGUGCUCAAAGCAGGCUUUCGCCUUGAAUAGUUUAGCAUGGAAUAAUAAAGUAGGACUUUGGUUCUAUUUUGUUGGUUUUAGGUACCAAAGUAAUGGUUAAUAGGAACAGUUGGGGGCAUUCGUAUUUAACUGUCAGAGGUGAAAUUCUUAGAUUUGUUAAAGACGAACUACUGCGAAAGCAUUUGCCAAAGAUGUUUUCAUUAAUCAAGAAC
rnacentral:rRNA from 1 species